AGAGUUUGAUCAUGGCUCAGGAUGAACGCUGGCGGCGUGCUUAACACAUGCGAGUCGAACGAUGAUGCCAGCUUGCUGGUGGAUUAGUGGCGAACGGGUGAGUAACACGUGAGUAACCUGCCCUUAACUCUGGGAUAAGCCUGGGAAACUGGGUCUAAUACCGGAUAUGACUGGUCAUCGCAUGGUGGUUGGUGGAAAGCUUUUUUGUGGUUUUGGAUGGACUCGCGGCCUAUCAGCUUGUGGUUUGGGGAAUGGCUUACCAAGGCGACGACGGGGUAGCCGGCCUGAGAGGGUGACCGGCCACACUGGGACUGAGACACGGCCCAGACUCCUACGGGAGGCAGCAGUGGGGAAUAUUGCACAAUGGGCGCAAGCCUGAUGCAGCGACGCCGCGUGAGGGAUGACGGCCUUCCGGGUUGUAAACCUCUUUCAGUAGGGAAGAAGCGUAAGUGACGGYACCUGCAGAAGAAGCGCCGGCUAACUACGUGCCAGCMGCCGCGGUAAUA
rnacentral:rRNA from 1 species